AACAUGUUUAUAAAAAAAAUAUGAAGGAUGCAGCAUAAGAAGAAAAGGCUUUAUCUAUUGAAAAAGUUACUCUUAUUGGUUGAUAUACCAGAAAAGUGGUCGAUUUUGUUGUAAAAUUGGAAAACUGCGAAAAAUGUAAGCAUUGAAAGAGAAAAAACAAAAUACUGAAGAAUAUUUAGAAUGGGCGACAAAUCACCCAAGCGAAUCACGAGGGAUCGACUGUUAAGAUGGAAAUCAAAGCAGUUAUUCAAAUGUUCCAGCGCUCUGAAACUUUACAUCAGAUUAAAUAUGUGAACUAUAUUAUAUUGGAGAUGGAGAUUCAAAAACCUUCAAAGGUAUUGUAGAUUCUCAGCGAUUCCCUAACAACGAAAAUUUUACAGUGUUGAAAAAAGAAUGUAUAGAUCACGUGCCAAAAAGUAUGGGUAUUCGCCUUCGCAAUUUAAAAAAAAAUAUAAAAGGCCUCGGAGGAAAAGAUAAAUUGACAGGCUCAUUGAUUAACUGUCUGUUUAUUACGGUUUAGCUAUACGCCUGAAUCUAUAGAAAAAAUGAGGAAUGAUAUAUGGGCGACAGUUUAUCACAAAAUGUCUACGGAUAAAAUGCUCACCCGGUGAAAAUUCAUGGUGCUCAUGGCAGAGAGUGAAAGCCGCUAAUACUUCGGACGAUUAUCAACAUAAAUUAGCUCUUCCGGACGAAAUAUUCAAAGCUAUUAAACCUAUAUACAAGGAUUUGAACAGCGAUGAUCUUCUUAUUCGUUGCAUAUGUGGUUUUACGCAAAACAGCAAUAAAAGUUUCAAUUUGACUGGGCAAUGGCUCCAAAAUUAGUUUCCAGUGACAAAGUUGUACUAGAUAUUGCAACAAAUGCUAUUUGUAUCUACAAUGACAGCUUCUCACCAGUGAUGCGCAUUAUGGAAGUAUUAGACAUAAAAAUUGGAUCAAACAAUUUCUGUGUGGAGAGUGACGCGCGCAUCAAAUUUUCCAAGCGAUCGCUGAUUAACAAAAUAAAAAAGGUUCGUCUGUUUUUGAAAUCAGCCAGAAAGGAAGAAAAGAACAUCAAUUUAGAAGGCCAAUUAUAUGGAGCGGACAUCGCAGAUUAAAGAUCAAAAAUUGCGGGAAUUAUCGUUUCGACCGCACAGCAUUGUUCAUGAGAAGACGACGUUACCAUUGCAAAGAUAUUCCCGAAAAAAAUUCACAAAAUUAGGCUUGUUUUUCAUGCUCUAUAGUGGCUUUACCCUUUAAAGCUACUUUUCCUGCUGAACUGAGCAAUUUUGUUAUGAAUGAUCGAAAAAGAACCAGAAGUAUCAAAAUACUAGAGAGACUAUCAAUUGCAUCUAAU